ACCCUUGACCACGGUAUAGUCAGCGACUGGGGUGAAGUCGUAACAAGGUAGCCGUAGGGGAACCUGCGGCUGGAUUACCUCCUUUCUAAGGAUGAAUGAAAGUAAAAUUUCAUUCUAAAUAAUAUACAUCGGUAAUGUUGACCGUCCUCAUUUCUCUUCUUAAAGUAAUGUUUCCUUCUUGUAGGGCCGGUAGCUCAGUUGGUUAGAGCACACCCUUGAUAAGGGUGGGGUCGAAAGUUCGAGUCUUUCUCGGCCCACCACACUUAACUGGGGGAUUAGCUCAGCUGGGAGAGCGCCUGAUUUGCAUUCAGGAGGUCAGCGGUUCGAUCCCGCUAUCCUCCACCAGGAAACAUUUAGUUAUAAAAAUCGUAAAUAAAUUUAAUAAUUAAUAUCAAUAUCUAUAUCCGAACAUUAGUAAUGUUAUUAGCUAAUGUUCAAAAUAAAAAUUUGAUCACAACAUAGAUAAUUUUUCUUUUAAUAAAGAAUUUUUUUCUGUGCAUAAAUCAAGCGUUUAAGGGCGUGUAGUGGGUGCCUUGGCACUGAAAGCCGAUGAAGGACGUGAUAUACUGCGAUAAGUUUCGGGGAGCUGUAUGUAAGUUUUGAUCCGAAAAUU
rnacentral:misc_RNA from 1 species